rnacentral:lncRNA from 1 species
AUGUGCACACAUAGGUUUACAAUGCCCUGGUGCUGGGUCACGUGUGGAAAAAUCCAAAAGGGCUGCCUACAUGCUGGAGUGUUGAGCAAUCCAAGUCAAAGGUGGAAGACCUGGCGCUCAUUGCAGAGUCCUAUUGAUAACCAAAGGAUGUGCAUUGGAAAGUUGAGGAGUCUGAGAUGGGAGGCUGAAUACAGACUUGCCAAGGCUAUAGUGAAGAUUGGAGCUCCUCUGAAGAAACCAAAAACUCUGGACACCGCCACCAGCCUCUCUACAAAUUAUUUGUUACCAUGCCUCUCCUCACUGGACUGUGAACUCUGUGAGGGCAGGGACCAUGAAUGGGGUAUCUAUUUCUGAUCCCCACCGGCUUACACAGGUGCACCCCAGCUGUCACACCAUCUAUGCACAGUAAGGGACAGGUGCAGUGCCACGUGGAUGAUGUGGUCUAUGGUCUUGAACAGCUCUGAUGAGGAGUUUAGACGUUCUCCUGCCUUUGAGGGUCUUAAUCAGGGGAGAGCCAGGACCCAGCCUGAGGUGAGACUCCCUGACAUGCUGAUGUGGUCCCUGACUUUGUUCCCAAGAGGAAGUCUCACGUGUGAGCCACGGCAUUAGCCCUGGUCCUGUCAGAUACUCUGAGUUUCCUCUUCUGCUGUGUCUGCCCUGCACUCUCCUGCUCAGAGGGGCUUCUGAAGCAGGCCUUUCCAAUCAGGCUUCGGUGACACCCAACCU